rnacentral:rRNA from 1 species
UACGGAGGGAGCUAGCGUUGUUCGGAAUUACUGGGCGUAAAGCGCGCGUAGGCGGUUUUUUAAGUCAGAGGUGAAAGCCCAGUGCUCAACACUGGAACUGCCUUUGAAACUGGAAAGCUAGAAUCUUGGAGAGGUCAGUGGAAUUCCGAGUGUAGAGGUGAAAUUCGUAGAUAUUCGGAAGAACACCAGUGGCGAAGGCGACUGACUGGACAAGUAUUGACGCUGAGGUGCGAAAGCGUGGGGAGCAAACAGG